rnacentral:rRNA from 1 species
CGCCUGGGGAGUACGGUCGCAAGAUUAAAACUCAAAGGAAUUGACGGGGACCCGCACAAGCGGUGGAUGAUGUGGAUUAAUUCGAUGCAACGCGAAAAACCUUACCUACCCUUGACAUGGCAGGAAUUCCUGAGAGAUUGGGGAGUGCUCGAAAGAGAACCUGCACACAGGUGCUGCAUGGCUGUCGUCAGCUCGUGUCGUGAGAUGUUGGGUUAAGUCCCGCAACGAGCGCAACCCUUGUCAUUAGUUGCUACG